GAUCUCAGAUGAAGCGAGGUUACCCCCUGAAUUUAAGCAUAUUAUUAAGGGGAGGAAAAGAAACUAACAAGGAUUCCCCUAGUAAGGGCGACUGAAGCGGGAAGAGCUCACACUGGAAAUCGGAGACCCAAGCGGGUGUUCCGAAUUGUAGUCUGUCGACGUGUUGUCAGCGUGUGACCCAGGCAGAAGUCGCUUGGAACAGCGCACCAGAGAGGGUGACAGUCCCGUUCUUGGCUUGGAGUUCGCCGCGUACGACACACGUUCUUAGAGUCGAGUUGCUUGGGAAUGCAGCUCUAAGCGGGUGGUAAAUUUCAUCGAAAGCUAAAUACCAACGAGAGACCGAUAGCGAACAAGUACCGUGAGGGAAAGAUGAAAAGAACUUUGAAAAGAGAGUCAAAAGUACUUGAAACUGUUAAGAGGGAAGCGCUGAGAACCAG
rnacentral:rRNA from 1 species